ACGGGGUGCAGCAGGCGCGAAAACUUUGCAAUAAGCGAAAGCUUGACAGGGCUAUCCCGAGUGCCAUCCGCUGAGGAAGGCUUUUACCCAGUCUAGUAAGCUGGGGGAAUAAGGAGAGGGCAAGUCUGGUGUCAGCCGCCGCGGUAAUACCAGCUCUCCGAGUGGUGUGGAUGUUUAUUGGGCCUAAAGCAUCCGUAGCUGGCUGAGUUAGUCCCCUGUUAAAUCCACCGAAUCAAUCGUUGGAUUGCGGGGGAUACUGCUCGGCUAGGGGACGGGAGAGGCAGACGGUAUUUUCGGGGUAGGGGUGAAAUCCUAUAAUCCCGGGAAGACCACCAGUGGCGAAGGCUGUCUGCUAGAACGCGCCCGACGGUGAGGGAUGAAAGCUGGGGUAGCGAACCGGAUUAGAUACCCGGGUAGUCCCAGCCGUAAACGAUGCAGGCUAGGUGUUUGGGCGGCCACGUGCCGCUCUAGUGCCGCAGGGAAGCUGUUAAGCCUGCCGCCUGGGGAGUACGAUCGCAAGAUUGAAACUUAAAGGAAUUGGCGGGGGAGCA
rnacentral:rRNA from 1 species